CAGGUACAACCAACCAUGAGUCCGUCAGCCAUUUGAACUAUUACAGGGAGGUGUUAUUUUUUAGAGAUAAGGAACAAAGAGGUCUUAAUAUCCGGCUCAGUCAGGGCAGGAAAUUGCCUACUUCCUGAGCUAGAGUGGUAGAGCCUGUGGGAUGGGAGCCAGAUAUUGAAGGGAGGAGGCAUGUAAGCACUGGAGACCUUAGGAUUUUAUUGUCGGGCACAUGGACUUUGUAUCAGAAUGUCAAGAACUCAUUUUGUCUUGAGCACAGAAAGAUGCUUGGCAAAGAAUUAAUUACACUAAAGCAUUCUUACAAAUGUCAUGGCUGGACAUUAAUUUUCACUGAAGGAUAUUCAUUCUCAGAUGUUUAUGCUUUUCAUUCCUAAACCUCCUCAGAUUGUGGUAUGUGACAACAUUUUAAUUUUAAAGACUAUCAAUUACCCUGCUAAUUCUAAAUUCUACUAUAAAAGUGUAAAGUACCAGGUUGACCUUACAUCCCUUGUCCUAAUUACAUGUGUUUUUAUAGGCCAUCUAUCCAACCCCAACAACACUAACAAACUAGUUUACAAAGCACUUAACAUCUUCAGCCUUUUUUUUUUUUUUUGGUUCUCAUUUGUAAAUCAAGAUUGUUGAAGUGCACAUCUCAAAUGUUUGGGUUCUGAAGAAAAGUGGCAUAGAUUCCAUAAGUAUAACACUGUAUGGUGGAAAAAGGACAUUUCAGAGAGACCCAAGUCCAAACCUCUGCACAUCCAGUUAUCAGAUGUAUGACACUGGGAACAUUCUCUAAUCUUGUCAAGCUAGUUUCAACAUUUGUAACUUGAAUAAUACCUGAGUUAUAUGGUUGUUAUACAAUUAAUGACAUGGGGAAUUAAAGCAUCUGGCAGAUUAUAUAUUUAGUUGAUAUUUCUUUCCCUUCCUCCUCUUCUUCCAGUAUCAUGUAGACUUAAAAAAAAAAGGUUCAGAUUGUAAUGAAAGAAAAGAAUAUAAAGACUAAUUUAUAGGAAGAUCUAAUGGGAGCUUCAAUUUUGACAAGCAAAAAUAAGAAAUUGGGGCAUUCUACCCAGGGAGGAAUGUAAUUAAAAGUAAGAUUACACAAUGGAAUACUACUCAGCCAUAAAAAAGAACAAAAUAAUGCCAUUUGCAGUAACAUGGAUGGAACUAGAGACUCUCAUCCUGAGUGAAGUAAGUCAAAGAGAAAGACAAAUACUUUAUCAUAUCCCUUAUAUCUGGAAUCUAAUACACAGCACAAAUGAACCUUUCCACAGAAAAGAAAAUCAUGGACUUGGAAAAUAGAUUCGUGGUUGCCAAGGGGGAGGGGGAAGGAGUGGGAUCGAUUGGGAGCUAGGGGUUAAUGGAUGCAAAGUGUUGCUUUUGGAAUGGAUUAGCAAUGAGAUCCUGCUGUGUGGCACUGAGAACUAUGUCUAGUCAUUUAUGAUGGAGCAUGAUAAUGGGAGAAAAAAGAAUCUAUACAUGUAUGUGUACCUGGGUCACCAUGCUGUACAGUAGAAAAAAAUUGUAUUGGGGAAAUAACAAUAAAAAAAUGGAAAAAAAUAUGAUGGCUCUAAUUAAAAGUGUAUGUGGAGGUAAGUCUUCUGAUGCUAUUGAAAUGUAGAAUGCAGUGCCAGAGUUAAGGUAUAUAUUUCAUGUUUCUAUGUCUUGACUCAUAAAUUAACUUUUACUCAGAUGUUUGUAUCUUGCACACAAUAUUCUCUCUUUUUUUUUUUUUAAAGCAUACCUUGGAGAUCAUCUUAUCUGUACAUAAAACUUCCUUUUCUUAAUUUACUAUUUGUAAUAUACCAUUACAAUUGUAGUAUAUACACUACAAUUUAUAUAAACAGUACUCUAGUGAUGGAUAUUCAGGUGGUUACCAUACUUUGCUUUUUUAAACAAGGUUACUGAGAAUAAUCUUGUAUAUACAUUACUUUACCGCAUGUAUAAGUAAAUCUGUAGGAUAGAGUCCUAAAUGUGGAUUUUCUGGUUAAAGGAUGUGUAUAAUUUCAAUUAGUACAGACAAAUGCCCUGCAAACAAGUUUUAUUGAUUUCGAUGUACACCGUCUAUGUAUGAAACAGUUACCUUGAACUCUAUUCCAUAUAGAUUUAUCAUUCUUUUUUCUUUUUCUUUCUCUUUUUUAAAUUUCAAAUGUUUUUUUUUUUCCAUUAUAGCUGGUUUACAGUGUUCUAUCAAUUUUCUACUGUACAGCAAGGUGACCCAGUCACACAUACAUAUAUACAUUCUUUUUUCUCACAUUAUUAUGCUUCAUCAUAAAUGACUAGAUACAUUUCCCAAUGCUGUACAGCAGGAUCUCAUUGUUUAUCUAUUCCAAAGGCAAUAGUUUGCAUCUAUUAACCCCAAAUUCCCAGUCCAUCCCACUCCUCCCUUUCCCCCUUGGUUAUCAUACUUUCUAAAUUUGGCCAAUCUUCUGAUUUGAAGAACUUAGCAUUUCUUAAACAUCUUGUAUUUAAGAGUUGUCUGUAUCUCCUUUUCCAGUCACAGUUUGCUUAUUUGGCUGCUGGAUUAUUGAGGUUUUCCUUAUCGAAUAGUGGACACUCUAUAUGUUGGAGACAUUGGCUUUUUGUUUCUUAUGCCAACAUUUUCUCUCAAUUCUUUUGUUUAAUUUUUGCAUUUAUUGUGAUUCUUACCAUAGAAAAUAUUUUAAAAAUCUUUUUAAUAUCAGUUUUUAUGGCUUCUGGAUUUUAUUUAUACUUAGAAAAAAUUUCCUCACUUGAGAGAAUAAUUUUUUCAUGGUUUCAUCUGUUACUUUUAUGAUUUCAUUUCUUACACUUAAAUCUUAGAUCAAUUUCAUAUUUUUUCUGGGGAGAGAUAUGAAUCCAUAUUUAUUUAUUUUUUUCAGGUGACUACUCAGAUCUCUCAUCACAAAUUAUUAUAUAAUCCACAUUUUCAAUACCACCUUGAAGUUUUUCCUGUAUAUUUACUAUACAACUGUAUGUAUUGGUAUACACUUCUGAGUUUUGUUUCUUUCAUAAGCUUGUCUGUCUACUCUUGUGCAAGACGUGAAUUUUUAAUUUUUAUUAGAUUUAUAACAAGUCUCAAAACCUGGUAAAAUGAUUUCCUUGUCUUACUUUAGUUUUUCAGAAAAUUUCUAAUUAUCUUCACUUGCUUAUUUUUCUAGAUGAUUUUUCGAGUCAAUGACAUGUCCCACACUACCCUCUUAUACAAAUACAUCCAAUGCAUAAAUUAACUUCAGUGACAUUUACUUUGAAAAUUUUUUUAAUAUUCCUUUCCAAGUGCACUCUAUACUUUUCUUAUAAUCAAGUGUGUAUGUGUGCAUGUGUUUGUAUAUACAUGUAUGUGAAUAUCUGUGUUUGUAUAUUGUAUGAUUCUCAAAAGAAUUUUAAAAUUUAUUCAUAUUGAUAUUUCUUCAUUAUUUCUUAUACUUUCUUCAUUAUUAAGUAUAUUCUUAGGUUUUGUUGCUAUUGCUUUCAUAAAUCUUUUUCUCCUAUAGAUCAUCCAACUGGGUAUUGUUUGUAAUAUAAAUAUUGUACAUUAAUCUUUCACCCAGCUACCUAAUAAAGUUCUCUUAUUGAUG
rnacentral:lncRNA from 1 species